GACAGAGGGUGCAAACGUUGCUCGGAAUUACUGGGCGUAAAGGGCGUGUAGGCGGGAAGGCAAGUCGGGCGUGAAAUCCCCAGGCUCAACCUGGGAACUGCACUCGAAACUGCCUUUCUUGAGUGUCGGAGAGGAAAGCGGAGUUCCUGGUGUAGAGGUGAAAAUUCGUAGAUAUCAGGAGGAACAACCGUGGCGAAGGCGGCUUUCUGGACGAUAACUGACGCUUGAGAACGCGAAAAGCGUGGGGG
rnacentral:rRNA from 1 species